rnacentral:misc_RNA from 1 species
GAUGAAGAACGUAGCGAAAUGCGAUAAGUAAUGCGAAUUGCAGAAUUUCCGUGAGUCAUCGAAUCUUUGAACGCACAUUGCGCCCAUUGGUAUUCCGAUGGGCAUGCCUGUUCGAGCGUCAUUAUCUUCCCUCAAACCUCGCGUUUGGUGUUGGGCCGUGCUGGUUCCUGCGUGACCAACUGGCCUCAAAGACAAUGACGGCGUCCGUGGGACCCUCGAUGCAACGAGCUUCUCAGGAGCACGCGUCGAGUUUCAAGGACCUUCCGGGCCGGUCUCCUUUACUAUUUUACAAGGUUGACCUCGGAUCAGGUAGGAAUACCCGCUGAACUUAAGCAUAUCAAUAAGCGGAGGA